ensembl:lncRNA
AAUUUCAACUAGACUUUUUAUUUUUACGUGAACAACUAAAAUUUUAAAAUAUAAUCUUUGUAAAAGGCUCCCUUUUAUUAAAUCUUCCUUGUACUGUAAUAUAAAAAUCCAACAGAUCUUGAUCCCCAAAGCCAAUAAUUUGUCCCAGAAGACUGACAAUAACAUUUAAAGUCUGAUAAGGGGAGGUAUGUCUUAUUAAAAAGUAAAAUUUUGUUUUAUUUUUCUUGUCAUAUCCAAGAUAGUCAUUAACUGUGGAUAUUAUAAGUCAAAGAAAAAAAUGACCAAAUGCAUCAUAGGGAGAUAAAACAUCUAGUUUAGUUAUCCUUAAUUUUACUAUUAGAGGAUGAGAAUUCUGAGGCAGGAAUAAGCACUACCUGGAGACUAGAAAUAGGUGAUCAGAGAGCUUGCCUGCAGUAGAUAGUGCCUAUGUGUUAUAUGUGCUUAAUUAUGGUUUAUUAAUUGAUUGAUUGGAUCUUAGCUCUUAGAAACAGAAGGAUUAGACAGAAGACUGCAAUACAGAGAAAAUUUGGAUGGGUAAAACAAAUCAUUAUAUUCACUUCCACUUUCCUCCUCUAUCAGAGCCCCGGUGAAUAAUGGAGAAUUAUAUGGCAAACAGAGGGAGGAAGCAAGAAAAACAAUGUGGCUGUUUUAGUAACCAGAGGCCUCUAACAAUUAUGGAAUUUCCCUUUUUCCUCUUUGUCUCCUGUCUUGAUUAGAAGGCUAAAGUAAAAUUAAAGUAUUGACAAGUAUACACACACUAUUUUAAGUGCACAUCUUGAGGCACAUAUAUGGAGAGUGUACAUAUAGGAAUAAGCAUGGUCUGGAACUAUUAUGGUGAUAAAAAUAAAAUUUUAGCAUUUCAUGUAUGAAUAUUAUUAAGACAUUAUCUGCUAAGCACCAUACUUAUUUAUUUAUAUACUUUUUGCCCAAUCAUGUUGAAGGGCAAUGCACUUCUCUUUCCAUCACAUUAUGUGCUCUAAGUAACUCAAUUCAUCUGAGGGUCACUGAGCUUCUCUGUGAUACUAUCUGUUGGUCUACAGCUAUUCAACAUUUUGAGGUUCAUUUGCUGCUGUCUGAGGAGUUUCUCCAUGGCAAGGUCCCUGGCUUCAGCCAUUAAUUUGAUUUCAGGUCCAAGUCAAACCUGUGUAAUUCAUCUUCCACUUGGUAGGCCUUUGUAUACAUGAAUAUAGUUACUAUGACACCACUAUUGCUGUAUUCAUCUCUAUGUUUAUCUUUUGGGAUUUCCAUCAAAUACUGAAUUGCAUGGUUUUCUACCAUUCUACUGUUCACUCUCAUUUGGACACUCCAGUUCAUUUUCCUAUUUCUAAAUUAAAUAGGCAGCUGUGAUUGAACAUAAUGUUUCAAAUGUGAUUUAAACAAUAUGAUAAUUAGGGGACCUAUAAAUUUCUGUAUUUUGAAUACUUGCUAAUAUUGAUUUAGUCUUAAUGUUAAAUAGCCAAAUAAUUCAUCACAUAGGUACCAGAUGUUAAUUAUCUGUGUGUUUACUUAGACUUAUAUUUGAAUUGAAGACAUAAUCUAACAUUAGAGUGAUAUUCAAAGCUCACAUAAAUUGGUAGAAUGUUCUAGGACUUAUGAUUGUUAUAGUCUAUGAAAACUCAGGAUCAUUUCCCUAUAAAAUUGAGGCAUUGGAAUAUAAUUGAAUUUUAUAAUCAUCUACUCUCAGACUUUCAAAUCUACAAUAGGAGAAAAUAUAUUUAUAGAAAAUUAUUCUAUGUAGUACAUGAAACAUGAAUGAUAGAAUUUCAAAAUAAAGUGUAAAGUGUCCUAAGAGAUUUAAGAUGA